GUCGGUUUGCGCGGAAGAUUUAACGGGGCUAAAACUACAUACCGAAGCUACGGAUCAGAAGGCAGAACAAAAUAAAUUAUCACUUCUAAUGUAUAAUCUCUUAAUUUUACGAUAGGCUAUAAAAUUAUGGGAAUAAUCAAAAAAUUUGAUAAAAUUAUUUAUGAAUCUAAUAUUGAUUUAACUAGGCAAACAACUAUAAAUAAAACAGAGGUAAAAAUAGACGAGCAUAACAAGUGUUUUCAGAUAAGGACUUACGGUUCUAAAAAUAGAGAACACUCUAAUGUUGCAAGUCAAACUAUGUUGUUUACAGGUAAAUCAUUAGAUGAGUUAAAAAAGAUACUUAAUAAAUUGUAAGUUUAUUUUGUUCUGUCUUCUGAUGGUAGGAGAGCGUUCUGUAAGCCGUUGAAGGUGAACUGUGAGGUUUGCUGGA
rnacentral:rRNA from 1 species